UGUUCCCUACGGGGCGCAGCAGUAGGGAAUCUUCCACAAUGGGCGAAAGCCUGAUGGAGCAACGCCGCGUGGGUGAAGAAGGUCUUCGGAUCGUAAAACCCUGUUGUUAGAGAAGAAAGUGCGUGAGAGUAACUGUUCACGUUUCGACGGUAUCUAACCAGAAAGCCACGGCUAACUACGUGCCAGCAGCCGCGGUAAUACGUAGGUGGCAAGCGUUAUCCGGAUUUAUUGGUCGUAAAGUGAACGCAGGCGGUCUUUUAAUUCUUAUGUGAAAGCCUUCGGCUUAACCGGAGUAGUGCAU
rnacentral:rRNA from 1 species